rnacentral:rRNA from 1 species
UAGCGAAACCGCGAGGUCAAGCAAAUCCCAUAAAGUUGUUCUCAGUUCGGAUUGUAGUCUGCAACUCGACUAUAUGAAGCUGGAAUCGCUAGUAAUCGUAGAUCAGCAUGCUACGGUGAAUACGUUCCCGGGUCUUGUACACACCGCCCGUCACACCACGAGAGUUUGUAACACCCGAAGCCGGUGGAGUAACCAUUUGGAGCUAGCCGUCGAAGGUGGGACAAAUGAUUGGGGUGAAGUCGUAACAAGGUAGCCGUAUCGGAAGGUGCGGCUGGAUCACCUCCUUUCUAAGGA